rnacentral:rRNA from 1 species
UGGGGGAUAUUGCACAAUGGGCGAAAGCCUGAUGCAGCGACGCCGCGUGGGGGAUGAAGGCCUUCGGGUUGUAAACUUCUUUUGCUCUGAACAAGGCAUGCUAAUGGGUGUGUUGAGUGUAGGGGUUGAUUAGCGCCGGCUAACUACGUGCCAGCAGCCGCGGUAAUACGUAGGGCGCGAGCGUUGUCCGGAAUUAUUGGGCGUAAAGGGCUUGUAGGUGGCUGGUUGCGUCUGUCGUGAAAGCUCAUGGCUUAACUGUGGGUUUGCGGUGGGUACGGGCUGGCUUGAGUGCAGUAGGGGAGGCUGGAAUUCCUGGUGUAGCGGUGGAAUGCGCAGAUAUCAGGAGGAAUGCCGGUGGCGAAGGCGGGGCUCUGGGCUGUUACUGACACUGAGGAGCGAAAGCAUGGGGAGCGAACAGG